ACAGCAGUCGCCGCGGGAACACGUAGGGUGCGAGCGUUAAUCGGAAUUACUGGGCGUAAAGCGUGCGCAGGCGGUUGUGUAAGACAGGUGUGAAAUCCCCGGGCUUAACCUGGGAACUGCGCUUGUGACUGCACAGCUAGAGUAUGGCAGAGGGGGGUGGAAUUCCACGUGUAGCAGUGAAAUGCGUAGAGAUGUGGAGGAACACCGAUGGCGAAGGCAGCCCCCUGGGCCAAUACUGACGCUCAUGCACGAAAGCGUGGGGAGCAAACAGGAUUAGAUACCCCCGUAGUCCCUGUCUCUUAUAC
rnacentral:rRNA from 1 species